rfam:Gossypium raimondii Chr02_contig_1474, whole genome shotgun sequence.
UAUUAUAAAAUCCAUCUAUUUGUAUUGUUAAAAACUAAUGUGGCUAAUAGAUUAACUAGAGUGACACAAGACGAGUCACGUGUACUUCAUGUUGACAUAUAAGGACUAAUUUUUAAUAAUAGAAAUGGAUGGAAUUUUUAAAA